rnacentral:snRNA from 1 species
AUACUUCCCUGGCAGAGGAGAUGCCAAAGAUUAUGCGGGUGGUUAUCUCAGAGCAAGGCUUAUCCAUUGCACACAGCAUGUGCUGCCCCUUGUGAUUUUCCUGAAUGUGGGAAACUGGACUGCAUAAUUUGUGUUUGGGGGAACAGUGUUUGCACUCUCCCUA